rnacentral:lncRNA from 1 species
GCAGCUGGAGCAGCUGGAAGUGAAGCGCUCGGGGCUGACCAAGGAGCUGGUGGAGGUGCGGGAGGCACUGAGCUGCGCUGUACUGCAGAGGGAUGUGCUGCAGACAGAGAAGGCAGAGGUGGCUGAGGCGCUGACCAAGGCUGAGGCAGGCCGUGCGCAGCUGGAGCUCUCUGUGACCAAGCUGAGGGCAGAGGAGGCUUCCCUGCGAGAUUCCUUGUCCAAGAUGAGUGCCCUCAACGAGAGUCUCGCCCAGGACAAGCUGGAAUUAAACCGCCUCAUCGCCCAGCUAGAGGAAGAAAAGGCGGCGCUCCUGGGCCGCCAGCAGCAGGCGGAGCACGCCACUUCGCUGGCUGUGGAGAAGCAGGAACGGUUGGAGCAGCUGAGACUGGAGCAGGAGGUGGAGAGGCAGGGCCUGGAGGGCUCCCUGUGUGUGGCUGAGCAGGCCCGGGAGGCGCUGGGGCAGCAGAUCCUUGUAUUGCGCAGCGAACGCAGCCAUCUGCAGGAGCAGGUGGCCCAGCUGAAUGGACGGGACCAGGAGUUGGAUCAGGCCCUGCGGGAGUCCCAGCGGCAGGUGGAGGCCCUGGAGCGCGCUGCCCGGGAGAAGGAGGCGAUGGCCAAGGAACGGGCUGGCCUGGCUGUGCAGCUGGCAGCAGCCGAGCGUGAGGGCCGGACCCUGUCAGAGGAGACCAUUCGCCUGCGCUUGGAGAAGGAGGCCCUGGAGAGCAGCCUGUUUGACGUGCAGAGGCAGCUGGCUCAGCUCGAGGCCCGCCGGGAGCAGCUAGAAGCGGACAGUCAAGCCCUGCUGCUGGCCAAGGAAACUCUGACUGGGGAGCUGGCAGGCCUGCGGCAGCAGGUAACAGCCACUGAAGAGAAAGCGGCCUUGGACAAGGAGCUGAUGACCCAGAAGCUAGUGCAAGCAGAGCGGGAGACUCAGGCCUCUCUGCGGGAACAGCGGGCAGCCCAUGAGGAGGAUCUGCAGAGACUCCAGCGGGAGAAGGAGGCUGCAUGGCGGGAGCUUCAGGCAGAGCGGGCCCAGCUGCAGGGCCAGUUACAGCAGGAGCGAGAGGAGCUGCUGGCCCGGAUGGAGGCUGAGAAGGAGGAGCUGAGUGAGGAGAUCGCCGCGCUGCAGCAGGAGCGGGACGAGGGCCUGCUCCUGGCGGAGAGUGAGAAGCAGCAGGCCUUGUCCUUGAAGGAGUCUGAGAAGACGGCACUGUCAGAGAAGUUGAUGGGAACCCGGCACAGUCUGGCUGCCAUCUCUCUGGAGAUGGAACGGCAGAAGCGAGAUGCCCAGAGCCGGCAGGAACAGGACCGGAACACAGUGAACGCCCUAACAUCUGAACUUCGAGACCUCCGGGCUCAGCUGGAAGAAGCCACAGCAGCCCAUGCACAGCAGGUGAAAGAACUCCAGGAGCAGACGGGGAACCUGGGUCGGCAGCGGGAGGCCUGCAUGAGGGAGGCAGAAGAGCUGAGGACUCAGCUGCGCUUGUUGGAGGAUACCCGUGAUGGGCUGCGGCGGGAGCUGCUGGAGGCUCAGCGCAAGGUCCGGGACAGCCAGGACAGCUCCGAGGCCCAUCGCCAGGAGGCUAGUGAGCUGCGGCGCAGUCUGAGUGAGGGCACCAAGGAGCGUGAGGCCCUGCGGCGUUCCAACGAGGAGCUGAGGACCGCUGUGAAGAAGGCAGAGAGCGAGCGGAUCAGCCUGAAGCUUGCCAAUGAGGACAAGGAGCAGAAGCUGGCCCUCCUGGAAGAGGCUCGAAUGUCUGUCGCCAAGGAGGCUGGAGAGCUUCGGGCCUCACUGCAGGAAGUGGAGCGAUCCCGGCUGGAGGCUCGACGUGAGCUGCAGGAGCUUAGGCGACAGAUGAAGACUCUGGACAGUGACAAUGGCCGACUGGGCCGUGAGCUGGCAGACCUGCAGAGCCGCUUGGCCCUGGGCGAGCGGACAGAGAAGGAGAGCCGGCGAGAGGUCCUGGGCCUGCGGCAGAAGGUGCUGAAAGGCGAGAGCAGCCUGGAGGCCUUGAAGCAGGAGCUCCAGGGUUCCCAGAGGAAGCUGCAGGAGCAAGAGGCUGAGUUCCGUGCACGCGAACGAGGCCUGUUGGGCUCCCUGGAGGAGGCGCGUGGUGCCGAGAAGAAGCUUCUGGACUCUGCUCGCAGCCUGGAGCUAAGACUGGAGGGUGAAGUGGGGACGGACUCAGCAGCCCCAGUCCUUUGGAAUAUAGCCCUCGGUCCCAGCCCCCGUCUCCAGGGCCUGUUGCCUCCCCGGCACCUCCAGACUUGGACCCAGAAGCUGUGCGUGACGCCCUCCGAGAUUUUCUGCAAGAGCUGCGGAGUGCCCAGCGGGAGCGGGAUGAACUUAGAGUCCAGACUAGCACCCUGAGUCAACAGCUGGCUGAGAUGGAGGCCGAGAGAGACCAUGCAGCCUCAAGGGCCAAGCAGCUGCAGAAGGCAGUAGCUGAGAGCGAGGAAGCCUGGCGCAGUGCAGACAGGCGGCUGAGCGGGGCCCAGGCCGAGCUGGCACUGCAGGAAGAGAGUGUGCGACGUAGCAGGCGGGAGUGCAGGGCCACGCUGGACCAGAUGGCAGUGCUGGAGAGGAGCCUGCAGGCCACCGAGAGCGAGCUCCGGGCCAGCCAGGAGAAGGUCAACAAGAUGAAGGCCACUGAGGUGAAGCUGGAGAGCGACAAGCGGCGACUGAAGGAGGUGCUGGAUGCGUCUGAGAGCCGCUCCAUCAAACUGGAGCUGCAGCGGCGCGCUCUCGAGGGCGAGCUGCAGCGCAGCCGCCUAGGCCUGGGGGACCGUGAGGCCCACGCUCAGGCCCUCCAGGAUCGGGUGGACUCCCUGCAGAGACAGGUGGCAGACAGUGAGGUGAAGGCAGGGACCUUACAGCUAACAGUGGAGCGGCUCAGUGGGGCACUGGCCAAGGUGGAGGAGAGCGAGGGGACCCUGCGGAGCAAGGUGCAGAGCCUGACAGAUGCCCUGGCCCAGAGCAGUGCCAGUCUCACCAGCAGUCAGGACAAGAAUCUGUACCUACAGAAGGCCUUGAGUACCUGCGAACAUGACCGCCAAGUGCUGCAGGAACGGCUGGACGCUGCCAGACAGGCACUGUCUGAAGCUCGAAGGCAAAGCAGCUCCCUGGGUGAGCAGGUGCAGACUCUGCGGGGUGAGCUGGCCAACCUGGAGCUGCAGCGGGGCGAUGCUGAAGGCCAGCUGCAGCAGCUGCAGCAGGUGCUGCGGCAGCGGCAGGAAGGGGAGGCCGUGGCUUUGCGCUCCGUCCAGAAGCUACAGGAGGAGCGGCGCCUGUUGCAGGAGCGCCUGGGCAGUCUGCAGCGAGCCCUGGCCCAGCUGGAAGCUGAGAAACGUGAGCUGGAGCGGUCGGCACUGCAGCUGGACAAGGACCGUGUGGCACUCAGGAAGACACUGGACAAGGUGGAGCGGGAGAAGCUUCGAAGCCACGAGGACACACUGCGCUUGAAUGCAGAGAGGGGCCGCCUGGACCGCACACUCACAGGAGCUGAGCUGGACCUGGCUGAAGCCCAACAGCAGAUCCAACAUUUAGAGGUGGUGGAAGUCCUGGAGCGGAACCACAGUCCUGUCCAGGUGGAGGCAGAUGAGCAGCACCUGGAGCUGCAACAGGAGGUUGAGCGCCUGCGCAGUGCCCAGGUACGGACAGAGCGCACACUGGAGGCACGGGAGCGGGCCCACCGCCAGCGCGUGUCGGGGCUGGAGGAGCAGGUAUCCACACUGAAGGCACAGCUGCAUCAGGAGCGUCACCGGAGCUCAGCAUCCAUGUCCCCACCCUCUGGCACCCCAGAGAAAUGAGUCCCUUCCAGCCCAUAUCCUGAGCAGUCCCUGGGCAGGAGAGAGGCCCUCUGUAGCAUAGUCUGCCCAGGGCCUGGUCAUCAGAGUGCUGGGUGAGGGAGCUGGGGUGGCAGAGAUGAUGGCUGUGGUGACACCCACAGUGGCUUCUCAGAGCGACUGCAGCACCUGUACUACCCUGGCCUCUCAAGAAGAGUCUCUUGAUGGUCCAAGGCUCUCCUGCUUGGCGGAGCCAGCCAGGCAUCAGGGAGGGAGAGCACUUGUUUCCGCCCGCCAGCAGCAGAGCAAAGGUUCCCCAGACAGGGUACCUGAGCCAGAGCACCCGGCUUCUCCUUAGCAUCCUCGUCAGAGUCGGAAGCUCCCUCGUGAGCUUAGAGCCCUUGUAUUUUUGUAUCUUUUUAUAAUGUUCACUGUGGAGAACAUGUGCUUUUUGUAACAUGACCUGUUUUCUAGAA